GCAGGGGUAGCCAAGCCUGGUUAAAGGCGCAGGCUUCAGGAGCCUGUCCCAUAGGGGUUCGUGGGUUCAAAUCCCACCCCCUGCACCA
rnacentral:tRNA from 1 species